UGACAUCACAGGCCAACCACCAACCAAGGCCAAGGAGACUAGAGCCCGGCCCCCUGCCCAGGACACCCUAGUUAGAUGAUGCUCACCUUGACCUUGCCUCUAACAUGGACUGCAGGCUGCUCUGCUGUGUAGCUCUCUGUCUCCUGGAAGCAGUCCCCGUGGACACUGCAAUUACCCAGAUACCAAAACACCUGCUCGCAGUGACAGGGAGUAAUCAGACCCUCAAGUGCGAACAACAUCUGGGACAUAAUGCUAUGUUCUGGUAUAAACAGAGCGCUCAGAGCCCACUGAAGCUCAUGUUUGCCUACAACUAUAAGAAGCUCGUUGAAAAUGACAGUAUCCCCAGUCGCUUCACACCUGAUUGCCCAGACAGCUCCCACCUGGACCUUCACGUGGCCACCCUGCAGCCAGAUGACUCUGCCGUGUAUCUGUGUGCCAGCAGCAAGGACACAGCCCCGCACAGACAGCUGCUCCCUGUGCACAAACCUCCCCGGUGCAGUCAGGGAGCCGUGGGGAUGACCACGGCUCAGCUCAACGUCUCCCGCGGGGCCCCAGACAGCAAUCCCAGACCAUGACGCUGUCAGUCGGCCGGGUGCAGCGAUGCCCCGGUCCCUGCACAGACGCCCACAGCCUGUGACCGGCUCUGCCCGGGUGCCCCCAUGCCCGCCGCUGAGGACAGGACAGGAACGGUCCACCCGAGGUCCCUCCAGGAGCUUCCGAUCGGCACGUGGCCCCGGGGAAGCUCUCAUGAGACGCGUCCCUCUCUGGCCACAGAGGCGCUGCCCAGCCUCCUGCCCACAGGUGCCUUUCUCCGAUGUUCUUUCCACCCAGGGGGCAGUGGAGACACCUGAGCAAAGUUUCAGACCAAAAAACCACCUGCCACUUCACCCAGUGUGGGAACUCUCCAAUCAAAGCACAUCUUUCAGGUGUGGGGUUUCUUUUACCUAAAUGUGACUCUUCCCUGUCCACUGGUUGAAAGAGAAACACUUGUGGAUUCAGUGUUUUUAAGGCCUCUUUGAUCAUGAAAUAAAAGCAGCCUUUGGUC